rnacentral:rRNA from 1 species
AUUGAACGCUGGCGGCAGGCUUAACACAUGCAAGUCGAGCGGAGACUUCGGUCUUAGCGGCGAACGGGUGAGUAAUACCUAGGAAUCUGCCUAUUAGUGGGGGAUAACGAAUCGAAAGGUUCGCUAAUACCGCAUACGUCCUACGGGAGAAAGGGGGGAGUCUUCGGACCUCUCGCUAAUAGAUGAGCCUAGGCCGGAUUAGCUAGUUGGUAGGGUAAAGGACCUACCAAGGCGACGAUCUGUAGCUGGUCUGAGAGGAUGGCCAGCCACACUGGAACUGAGACACGGUCCAGACUCCUACGGGAGGGCAGCAGUGGGGAAGUAUUGGACAAUGGGGGCGAACCCUGAUCCAGCCAUGCCGCGUGUGUGAAGAAGGCCUCGGUU